rnacentral:rRNA from 1 species
CCUACGGGUGGCAGCAGUGAGGAAUAUUGGUCAAUGGGCGAGAGCCUGAACCAGCCAAGUCGCGUGAAGGAUGAAUGCCCUACGGUUUGUAAACUUCUUUUAUAUGGGAAUAAAGUGAGGCACGUGUUCCUUUUUGUAUGUACCAUAUGAAUAAGCAUCGGCUAACUCCGUGCCAGCAGCCGCGGUAAUACGGAGGAUGCGAGCGUUAUCCGGAUUUAUUGGGUUUAAAGGGUGCGUAGGUGGUUAGUUAAGUCAGUGGUGAAAGUUUGUGGCUCAACCAUAAAAUUGCCGUUGAUACUGGCAGACUGGAGUACAGUUGAGGUAGGCGGAAUGCGUGGUGUAGCGGUGAAAUGCAUAGAUAUCACGCAGAACUCCGAUUGCGAAGGCAGCUUACUAAACUAUAACUGACACUGAAGCACGAAAGCGUGGGGAUCAAACAGGAUUAGAUACCCCUGUAGUC